rnacentral:lncRNA from 10 species
CGGCCUCCCAAAGUGCUGAUUGUAUCCCCAUUUUAUAGAGGAGGAGAUUGAGGCCUGGAGACAGAAGUGAUUUGGGCAAGGGCCGCAUUGCUGGGAGGCAGCAGAGGAGCCAGAAUUCAAACGCAAGCCUGACUGUCCAUGGGAGUAUCUUUUUAGUUUCUUGAAAAAUACCAAUGUUGGCCCCUCAGGGCUUCCUCCUGCCUCUGCUGUGCCUCUGCCUGACAUUUCCUCUGCAUCCUCCAAGUGCUUCCCAGGCUGGCUUCUUCUUGCCCUGCUGGUCUCUGUUUAAACAUCGCCCUUUGAGGAGGCCUUUCCUGACCCCUCCUCCCCCCGCCGCAUCUACCAGCGUAAUUCUGGCUCUUUGAGUGGUUUACUGCGUCACAAGUCACAAUCACUUAUUAACUUUUUGUUUGCUUCUUUUAUCUAGACGAGGGCUUUAAUUUCAAGGAGCUCACAUUCAAAUGGAGCAGAAAGGCACUGAACCCAGAAACAAAUAAUUCUCUAGGAUGGUGGACACAUGGGAAUAAGUGAGAGGAUAACACCCAUUUUGCAGAGGAGGAGAUGGAUAUUCAGAGAGGCUGGAAGUGCAUUUGCUAAAGAACCUCACUUCUACCGAUCUCAUUUUCCACGCACUUACAAACGGACCAGAGGUUGCAAAAGUGAGUCUCUCCUCGCUUCUACCGAUCUCAUUUUCCACGCACUUACAAACGGACCAGUGGUUGCAAAAAUAGGAAAACCAAGGCACAGCGAGGGAAAAUUUGCCUAAAAAUCACACAGUUGGUUGGAAGUGAAGCCAGGAUUCCAGCCCAGGUCUGUGUGAUUCCAGCACCUGGACCCUGGACCACCGAGUUCACAGAGAAGGGACAUUUCUGCAGGGGAGAGCUGUGGUCAAAGAGAGGAAUAAAGCUUAGAAAGAGGAAGUUCGUGGGUUGCAAAGUGAGUAAUGGCUGCAUCUGGGAGCUGAUCAAAGGUGGCCAGCCAAGUUGAGUAGCCAGUUCGGUGUAUGAGACUUAACAACACUGUUUCCCCGGCCAUGGAAGGAGUCUUGAGCAGAGUGUGAGAAUGGCCAGGUGGCGGAAGUGUCUGAGAAGAUCCUGCAUCGAUCCAGAAGCAGUGGGAUAAGGAAGGAGCACUGGAUGGAAGUCAGGUGUCCUGGGGCCCAGCGCUGGCCCUGCCACACAUGGUGUGGAAGCAGAACCCUGCUGCCCGUGUCUGGGUGGGCGAGAGACUGGGGAAACACGGCCAGGAAGCAGCCCGGCAGAUGGGGGCUGAGCGCACUGGCAGGGGCAGGAGGAGCUGCAGAUCUUUUCUCAGUUGAGCUUCAGAUGAGACCACAGCCCCAGCCAGCUUCUUAAGUGCAGCCUCAUAAGAAACCGUAAGCAGAGAACCAAGAUAAACCAUGCCUGAACUCCUGAUCCACAGAAACUGUGAAAUAGAUCUGCCUGGAACCUGCCGGCCCCCUGCAGCUGGCUUCUUAAAUGCCUGCAGCUGGUGCAAGCCUCUCACUCCAAGAUGUUUCCACCCCAGACACAUCCCAGAGCCCCCUGCAUCUCCUGGGAGGACGAGGAUGGAUGGAAGCGUGCUGCCAACGCUGGGACACCUGCUUGCUUUCUGGGCAGUGGCCAGGAAAUCGCAUCUGCUGCCAGAAGAGAGCACCUGCACAUCCCGGAGAAGGGAAGGGGACAGAGCCGUGUGAUUCUAGCAGAGGAACACCCAUAGGAUUCCUUCUGUUGUUCCCAAGGUCCAGGCUCCCAGGCUGAGUAGGCAGGAAGGAGAAUGUGUCUUCACACAGGAAGCCUCACUGCCCAGAACAUGGGACAGAUCUAGCUGGAGCUGUGCUCAAACAGCUGUGGAGGCAUUAUAAAUCUCUCUCCCCGAGAUGAGGUUCAGAGGCUCUUGACAUGCCCUGCUAAUGGUAAAUCUUCCAGUGCCCACAGAGCAAGCCCUGGACUCUUAGAGCAUCAAGGUGAGACUGCCUGCCCCCCUUAAGCCUGUUAAUGGCAUCAGUGAUGUAUUCCCCUCCAAAUGUGGAAGGCUGCCUCUUUCUUCAUUGGAAGCAUCAAGGGAGUUUUAACUGUAAAACAGACUGUGCUUCAAAUCCCAUCUAAAUGCCUCAUCCUGAAGCUCUGACCUGCCACUUUUCUGCAAAUGACACUGGGUGAUUUGAAUGGGAUUAGAUUGGACAGUGGCCCCUGGCUGUUGUUUAAGUUUGUGUGGGUUUUGUUGUUUGUUUGUUUUAAUGCAACCUGUCUUUAAAUCUUCACUUUCAAAAAAAAAAAAAAGUGGUCAUUAGCCUUAUUUUUUAUUUAGAGGAUGUGAAGUCAGAAGUUCCCUUCCCUGAUUUAUUACCUCAUAGGUUUAUGACUUUGAAGAAUCAUUUCAUCUCUUUUAGUUUCCUCAUCUGUAGAAAGGUGAUUGUAAACUCUUUCUUAUCGGCUGGAUACAAAGAUGAAAUGAGAUAUCCU